rnacentral:rRNA from 1 species
UUUCCGGUUGAUCCCGCCGGAGGCCACUGCUAUGGGGGUCCGACUAAGCCAUGCGAGUCAUGGGGCGCCUUGCGCGCACCGGCGGACGGCUCAGUAACACGUCGGUAACCUACCCUCGGGAGGGGGAUAACCCCGGGAAACUGGGGCUAAUCCCCCAUAGGCCUGAGGUACUGGAAGGUCCUCAGGCCGAAAGGGGCUCUGCCCGCCCGAGGAUGGGCCGGCGGCCGAUUAGGUAGUUGGUGGGGUAACGGCCCACCAAGCCGAAGAUCGGUACGGGCCAUGAGAGUGGGAGCCCGGAGAUGGACACUGAGACACGGGUCCAGGCCCUACGGGGCGCAGCAGGCGCGAAACCUCCGCAAUGCGGGCAACCGCGACGGGGGGACCCCCAGUGCCGUGGCAUCGCCACGGCUUUUCCGGAGUGUAAAAAGCUCCGGGAAUAAGGGCUGGGCAAGGCCGGUGGCAGCCGCCGCGGUAAUACCGGCGGCCCGAGUGGUGGCCGCUAUUAUUGGGCCUAAAGCGUCCGUAGCCGGGCCCGUAAGUCCCUGGCGAAAUCCCACGGCUCAACCGUGGGGCUUGCUGGGGAUACUGCGGGCCUUGGGACCGGGAGAGGCCGGGGGUACCCCUGGGGUAGGGGUGAAAUCCUAUAAUCCCAGGGGGACCGCCAGUGGCGAAGGCGCCCGGCUGGAACGGGUCCGACGGUGAGGGACGAAGGCCAGGGGAGCGAACCGGAUUAGAUACCCGGGUAGUCCUGGCUGUAAAGGAUGCGGGCUAGGUGUCGGGCGAGCUUCGAGCUCGCCCGGUGCCGAAGGGAAGCCGUUAAGCCCGCCGCCUGGGGAGUACGGCCGCAAGGCUGAAACUUAAAGGAAUUGGCGGGGGAGCACUACAAGGGGUGGAGCGUGCGGUUUAAUUGGAUUCAAC